AAUUCCAUGGAGUCUAAUUUCUGCUGGGAUAUUUCCUCCAGGCUGACAUUGGUUUCAGAAGGAUGUAUAAUUGGACCAGUUCUUGAUAAGCCUGAAUCUUUAUGUGCUGCGUGUCUGUAAGCUGCCCUCUCAAAGAUCUGCUCUCCUCACAUGAUGCAGAAAGAAAAUGAUGUGGACAGAGAGAGAAAUGUCACAAUCUACGCUCAGCUGGUCUGGAUUAUCCAACUUCUGAGGUGUAUCCGUCGGCUGUCCCUGUAUCCCAUUAUAAAUCAUCUCCUUGUUGAACAUCAGGCCAGACUGGGGUCUGAUUCAUUGGCUGAAUGUGGCUACCUGGCUCCAGGAGGAGCCUCUGUCUCAGUCCUGUAAUAGUCAUCAUGCUUUAAGAAACCUUCACAUUUCUGAACAGUUACAUAGUGUCCUCAGCUGAAGAAAGAGGAUGUCUGGAGUCCAUUUCCGGCAGUUAGCAGGGAGCUGUUUUCCUCUCUCUGACAUUAGCAAGGUUUUUAUUCCAUGCCUUUGGGGACAGCGACAGUCAACACCAACCUGUGGCAUGGGAUGGAUUUCUAUCAAAAGCCUCUGUGAAUGUGCUCUGAGAAGUUUCUACAGAGUCUAACAGGGCCUCACUCUGUCACCCAGCUUGGGGUGCAGUGGCACAAUCUGAGCUCACUGGAAUCUCAAACGCUUGGGCUCUUGAGUUUGAAAUACAGCAAAGAAAAAUGUCAGUGCUCCCGCCUAUGGAGUCACCAACUCUUCAUAAAUCCAUUCCAAAUAGAUCAUCAAGGACACUUGUAACAGAGACGUUUUCCACACCAUGGCAUGUUCCCGAAGACUCAAAGUUGGUCAGAGAGACUAAACAAGGACAGCGCGGACCCUUUUUUGAAGCUGUUUUUCUAUUUUUAAAAUGCAGUUCAAAAGAUAUUGGAAAACUUUCAAAGGUUUAUUCUUUCUCUCUUGCUGAACUUUUAAGGAGAGGCUGA
rnacentral:lncRNA from 1 species